GUCUGCACGUCUGGUAGCAUCUCUGGCUGCUGUUGACCUUGUUUUUGGAGUAAAACACGGUGGAAGCUGAAUUAGUGAGGAUGACUCCUGCUCCUGUCAUCUCUAAGCUCCUCACACAUCUUUACCUGCACAUGAGGAAAAUCACUCCUGUAGAAUGCAGAUGUUCAGAGGGAGAUGAUGCCACAUCUGGUCCAGCUGAUGGAAGGUCUUGAAGUUCUCUGACUGGCCUGGACUGAAGAUGGUCGUCUCUCUGGAUUUAAGGUUCAGAUGCUCAGUAACAAACUCCACCAAUGAGCCAACAGGGAAGCUUUAGGUUUAUUAAAUGUUGCUAUGAAGGUUUCACUGUUUUUCUUUGUGAAUGCAAUGUGCUCCAACUGAAACUUGACUUUGAACUAAGUAAGUAAAUCCUUCCAUCUGAAAGGAUUUAGUUGCAUUAAUAACCUCAUAACAUUCUAAUUUUUAUUCCAGUCUUGGUUGGAAAUAGAAUCUCUGUAUUGAUUCAGGUAAAAACUGAACUUCACAGCAUGUUGGAGCAAAACAACCAGAUGAAAACUGUGAUGGUGUUGGAUUGUCAGACCGUAAUGUUGCAGCUCAAAGCAGCUUUUCUAUCUCAGUUCAUUCUGACAUUCAGCUAUGAAUCAACACAGCAGAUGGUGAUCCAUGCUGUGGAAGUCUCACAUCUCCUGAUUUAAUGGAGCUGCUUUGCACUUUUUACACUGUUUAUUCACCAACACUUUAUUUAAUAAAAGUCUCAUCUAGUUUUUAUGAGGAAUGUGAUGUUUUAAUUUCUCUGUGAAUAACUGCAGUCUAAUGGAACAGCUGGAAUUGUAACAUCUGUCCUGAUAUUGAUCAUGAAGUAUUGAUCAGAAUACUUAUGAUCAGUAGUCAUCCCUGAAGUUUUACAUUCAUACAUACAUACAGCAGAAACUUUAGCGUUGCCAUGGAUACAUGAGUGUUAAAUUCUGUCCAUGUUUCCAUUUUGGGAAAUGCAGUCCAGCAGAUGAGUUUGUUUUUACUGCCAGCUACCAUUCAGUCUGAGAUAUUAAGAAUAAAUAAAUGUGCAUCACGUGGAAAUGAACAAAUUCUAUUUUUAUUUAUUCCUACAGCUGCUGCAUGUAAAGUUCCAAAAUGUGGAGGAAUUUAGUCUCACAAUCACAGACAAUAAGUAUUAUCUGAAAGUCAGGUUAUUGUUGUUUAUCAGCACAAUACAAAAGAUUCAUGUUAGAAAUAUUCCAGUUAAGACUCUAGAAUAUCAGGAUUUAUGUAAAUUUACCUCAAUAAUAUGAAUGUUCAGGUUAAGAUUGUGCAGUGAUAUUUAUUAUGUGAGUUUAGCUGAUUAAAGUUUA